rnacentral:rRNA from 1 species
AAAUUUAAAAUAGAAUUUUAUUUUUUAGUAAAAAAGCUAAAAUUUUUUUAAAAGACGAGAAGACCCUAUAAAUCUUUAUAUUUAAUUUAAUUUUAAUUUAUUUAGAUAAAUUUUAUUUUAAUUAUUUUAAAUAUUUUAUUGGGGUGAUAUUAAAAUUUAAUGAACUUUUAAUUUAAAAUUUCAUAAAUAAAUGUUUUUUUGAUCCAUUAUUAAUGAUUAAAAAUUUAAGUUACUUUAGGGAUAACAGCGUAAUUUUUUUUGAGAGUUCUUAUUGAUAAAAAAGUUUGCGACCUCGAUGUUGGAUUAAGAUAUAUUUUUAAAUGCAGAAGUUUAAAUAUUAAGUCUGUUCGACUUUUAAAUUCUUACAUGAUCUGAGUUCAAACCGGUGUAAGCCAGGUUGGUUUCUAUCUUUAAUUAAAUAAAAUAUUUUAGUACGAAAGGAUUGAAUAUUUGAAUUAUAGAUUUUUUAUAUAGAAU